CAACAAUACAGAGAUAACUAUAAU
rnacentral:misc_RNA from 1 species